ensembl:lncRNA
CUUUUGCAUCACCAAGACUGACAUCUGGAGGAUAAAGCCAAGAGCUGCAAGUGUUUCAGACUUCUUUUCUUCUUGGAAUUCUGAGGAAUUUGCUUUUUGGAAACACUAAUGAACCCCUUGCGUGUCCUUUGCGUGCCCUUUUCACACCUCCCUGCGCGCGCCGACCCAUUUUUUCUAGGUGACGCACGCGACGCAAGCCAUUGGUCCGCUAACUACGUCCUUUACGGAGUCUCACAUUUCCGUUUUCAUAGCACAAUACCGCCAUUAUUAAAACGAAUAAUGUUUUACGAGAGAACGGAGCAGAUUGAAGAACUUUUGUCGGAAGAAAUGCGUAAGUAUGACCGCUUAUACAAGCCGUCAUUGGCGGACUAAAAGGACGCGCGGAUGGCCUCUGAUUCAUGGAGGGAGAUCUCCGCAAACGUCGGUUUGCCGUUCGUGAGGUGUACAAAGUUGUGGAGGUGAAUUCUUUAGAUAAAAUCCCCAAACCAAAACCCAUUCAUUCUCUAUGGUUGUGCUAAACCACUACGGGUGUAAUAUAUCUUUGGCCACCGGUGGCGCUGUUGUGCGGACCGAGCGUUUGCCCGGAUGUAAAGCGUUUCUCCGGACAUUCUCCGUCAGUCUACCCGGGAAAGAGCACCGAAGCGACGGUGCACCUUCGUCGGACCUCGCGCUACGAGGAAGUCACUAAACAGGAUUGCUGUGUUGCACUUAAGGUGGCAGAGUCGUCUGCAGGAGAACAUCUGAAAUGGGAUUCUUGGAGAACAACAGAUUGCCAAUGUCACGUCUGGCAACCAUCACAUUUUAAUGCAAACAUUAAUAUCAAGCUGGACUUGUUUCACUGCAUGAGGCGGUUCCUCCAAACUCUACGUCUGCCGUCGCUGGCAGUUAUCGACCUGCUGCUCAACAAACACCGUGAGCAGAAGGACAUGCUGAAGCUUGUGGACCAGGACUACGCUGCUCUAGUUCACAACUCCUGCACAGACCCCAACAGCAUGCUCCACCCGACAACAAAACUACAUGUUCUACAAUAUGUAAAGCACCUCAGCAAAUUGUUGAACACCAGUUCCUCUUUAAACGUCAGUCCAGAAAAACUGCAAGAGAGGCAGAAACUCUGUCACUCUCUGACAGAGGCGAGUGAGACUACUAGUGUGCAGGUUGUUACGAUGUCUGUUGCAUUUGUUCACCCACCUCCACCUGUUCAGAUGCUGACACAAGCUUCUAUUGAGAAGAUUGUACCCAACAUCAUGGAAAAGCAGCAGCAACAUAAACAGGAACAACAACAACAACCGGGGCAAAAGAAGGGCUGCACGAAAGACAAAGUUCUUUCAGCUAGAACUGGAUGCCACACAGAAAAGUUCCAUCUAGCAUUUUAAGUCCAAUUAUUUGUAAUAUUCAUGUUGUAAUUAGUUUAUAUAUUGGUUUCUUGCAUUUGUGACUUUGUACAUUGAAAUAUUAUCAUUUUAUUCUUUAUAUUUGGUUUUAAUAUUCAUUAGUUUAAUUAUUUAGAUGUCUUUAUUUCUGUAACAUUUUUGUUUGUAUAGGACUAUACAAAUCGGUUGAUGUAUCUGUGUUCAACAUUUACUGUCCAA